rnacentral:rRNA from 1 species
GACAGAGGGUGCAAACGUUGCUCGGAUUGACUGGGCGUAAAGGGCGCGUAGGCGGUUUGUACAGUCAGACGUGAAAUUCCUGGGCUCAACCUGGGGGCUGCGUUUGAUACGUGCGGACUUGAGUUCGGAAGAGGGUCGUGGAAUUCCCAGUGUAGAGGUGAAAUUCGUAGAUAUUGGGAAGAACACCGGUGGCGAAGGCGGCGACCUGGUCCGAUACUGACGCUGAGGCGCGAAAGCGUGGGGAGCAAACAGG